AUGUCCACCAACGAGAAUGCACAUACACCAGCUGCCCGUCUUAACAGAUUCAAGAACAAGGGAAAAGACAGAAAACCGCAACAACCAGGGUACCUUACUGAUGGUCCAAAUGAACGAAUUGACAUGGUCGUGAAAACAGGAGUUGUGCCCCAACUUGUCAAGCUUCUAGGAGCUUCUGAAUUGCCAAUUGUGACUCAUGCACUACGAGCCAUAGGGAAUAUUGUCACUGGUACAGAUGAACAGAUUCAGGUUGUGAUCGAUGCAGGAGUGCUUGCUGUCUUUCUCAGCCUGCUCACCAACCCCAAAACUAACAUUCAGAAGGAAGCUACAUGGACAAUGUCAAACAUCACAGCUGGCCGUCAGGACCAGAUACAGCAAGUUGUGAAUCAUGGAUUAGUCCCAUUCCUUGCCAGUGUUCUUUCUAAGGCAGAUUUUAAGACACAAGAGGAAGCUGUAUGGGCUGUGACCAACUAUACCAGUGGUGGAACAGUUGAACAGAUUGUGUACCUUGUUCAUUGUGGCGUAAUAGAACCGUUGAUGAACCUCUUAACUGCAAAAGAUACCAAGAUUAUUCUGGUUAUCCUGGAUGCCAUUUCAAAUAUCUUUCAGGCUGCUGAGAAACUAGGUGAAACUGAGAAACUGAGUAUAAUGAUUGAAGAAUGUGGAGGCUUAGACAAAAUUGAAGCUCUGCAAAACCAUGAAAAUGAGUCUGUGUAUAAAGCUUCAUUAAACUUAAUUGAAAAGUAUUUCUCUGUAGAGGAAGAGGAAGAUCAAAAUGUUGUGCCAGAAACUACCUCUGAAGGCUAUACCUUCCAAGUUCAGGAUGGGACUCCUGGGACCUUUAACUUUUAGAUCAGGUAGUUGAGGUAUAAAUAUGUUGUGUACUAUGUUUGGUAUUUUGUCUUCCUGUUUCUCUAUGAAGAACUCUUUCUAAAUGUGGUUUGUUAUUGUAGCACUUUUUACACUGAAACUAUACUUGAACAGUUCCAACUGUACAUACUGUAUGAAGCUUGUCCUCUGGCUACAUUUCUUAUUUCUAUGUGGAAUUUCAUAUCUUGCAGCCUCCUGUAAAUAAACAUUAAA